CGCCUACGGGGGGCAGCAGUGAGGAAUAUUGGUCAAUGGCCGAAGGGCUGAACCAGCCAAGCCGCGUGAAGGAAUAAGGCCCUACGGGUCGUAAACUUCUUUAGUCAGGGAACAAAGGGUGCCACGUGUGGCGCUGUGAGUGUACCUGAAGAAUAAGCAUCGGCUAACUCCGUGCCAGCAGCCGCGGUAAUACGGAGGAUGCGAGCGUUAUCCGGAUUUAUUGGGUUUAAAGGGUGCGUAGGCGGUCUGUUAAGUCAGCGGUCAAAGCCCGGGGCUCAACCCCGGCCCGCCGUUGAAACUGGCAG
rnacentral:rRNA from 1 species